UCCGCCAGAGAACUACAAGUGAAAAACUUGAAACUCAAAGGACUUGACGGUGUCCCAUAUCGACCUAGAGGAGCCUGUCCUAUAAUCGAUACCCCUCGUUCCACCCAACCUCAACUAGCAAACCAGCAGCCUAUAUACCGCCGUCGACAGUUUACCCUAUGAAGGUCCAAUAGUAGACACAACAGCCUUAACGCUAAUACGUCAGGUCAAGGUGUAGCAGAUGUUGAGGAAGAGAUUGGCUACAUUUUUUAUGAUAAAAAAUACGAAUUGCACUAUGAAACACUGCAUGAAGGUGAAUUUAGUAGUAAAACAGAUAAGAGUGUCUGUUUUAACAACGCUCUGGGACGCGUACACACCGCCC
rnacentral:rRNA from 1 species